rnacentral:sRNA from 1 species
GCCGGGCAUGGUGAUGCACACCUGUAAUCCUACUGGCUUGGGAGGCUGAGACAGGAGGAUCAUGAGUUCAAAGCCAGCCUCAGCAAAAGUGAGGUGCUAAGCAACUCAGUGAGACCCUGUCUCUA